AUGAACGCUGGCGGCGUGCCUCACCCCUGCACGUCGAACGAAGCACCUUACCUGAUUCUUCGGAUGAAAGUUUGGUGACUGAGUGGCGGACGGGUGAGUAACGCGUGGGUAACCUGCCCUGUACAGGGGGAUAACAGCUGGAAACGGCUGCUAAUACCGCAUAAGCGCACGAGGAGACAUCUCCUUGUGUGAAAAACUCCGGUGGUACAGGAUGGGCCCGCGUCUGAUUAGCUGGUUGGCAGGGUAACGGCCUACCAAGGCAACGAUCAGUAGCCGGUCUGAGAGGAUGAACGGCCACAUUGGAACUGAGACACGGUCCAAACUCCUACGGGAGGCAGCAGUGGGGAAUAUUGCACAAUGGGGGAAACCCUGAUGCAGCAACGCCGCGUGAGUGAAGAAGUAUUUCGGUAUGUAAAGCUCUAUCAGCAGGGAAGAUAAUGACGGUACCUGACUAAGAAGCUCCGGCUAAAUACGUG
rnacentral:rRNA from 1 species